GAAAAAUUUUUAUAUUCUCUUUUCUCUCAUUGUAUCCGAUCAUCGAAAAUCCAUCUACAGUUACCUAUACCGGGUGCUGUAGGCUAGGGUUUUGGCUUAUUCGGUCGAGCUUCCAAUUCCAAAUGCCUAAACUUCGAUGAAGAGGAAAAGUUCUCAAAUUAACACCGAACAUCCAUCUCCAAUCCGUUCUUCUUUUCCAAGAGGUUUCUACGGUGUUCAGGCUUCUAAAACUCGAUUCAAGUAUGCAGAAUCUCGAACUACCAAAGGGAUUGGCUGCAAAGAAAGAGUAAGAUUUACAGAUCUUGUUAAUGAUGAUGAAUUACAGGAAUCUGCUUCAGUUCCUCUACAAAGAAAUUAUGCUCCAAGAUCUGAUGACCCCAAAACAUCAGAAUAUGCUUUCUUUAAGAAAUUAAAGAGCGAUGCAAAUCAUAGGUUUCACUCCCAUGCUCUGCAUCAAGAUGAAAACCAAUCCCUGAAUCUCAAACCAAGUGACUAUUCUAGAGUGAGAACUAACAUUAUUGAGAACAGUCAUAAGGAUUUCAAGUCCCCAGUGCUCCCUAAAAAUUUAACACCUGAGAAUUCUGUGUCAUUCCUCUCACCACUUAGUAACGCAUCAAAGAAGUCAGGGCUAGACAUGAAGAGAGUUGGGACAACAAUGGUGGAUAUACACCGCACACUGGAAAAUAAGGAAUAUGGCGCUCAGUGCAAGAAUGCUGACGUCUUUUUCAGAAAAAGGCAGAAACUACGCCAGUUGGUAGCAAAUACCUCAUUCUCUGAAGUUGAUGAACUCUGUUCUAAGGGGUUAGACACAUCACUGUUAGUAAACCCUUUCAUUUUCUUUUUUCUGUAAUGAUGGACUGGAUAAGGAAUGUUUCACAGGUGUGAUUUUGUUUCUGUGCUGCUCAGUAAGCUGUUCCCUGAGAGCAACAAAGGGAAGAGUUUUGAGGAUGUAAAGACGGGGAAAUUAGAAAUUGAUACAAAUUGUAAGCCACUUGCUUCUCCAGAGACAGAUAUGGACUUCAAGAUAUCUAACUGGAUGACAAGAAGGAAUUUUAUGGACCUUGAAUUUGAACCUUCAUUGGAUGUUGGAUUUUCUUCUUGUUGGUUGGGAAUGCCAAGAGAGAGAGACGUUCCAAAUUUCCUGUCUCAAAGCUGUCAUUCCCACAGAACCUAUCUUGACAACGUAAUAAUGGAGGUUGACUAUGAAUUAGGAGAAAGAGCUGCCCCAAUUUUAUGCAUUGAAGGUGAUUCAACUUUUGACUUUCAUGUCAGAAAACAUAGAUCAUUUACAUCGAGGCAUCUUAAGGGAUUGGAUGAAUUCCAUUGUCCAAUUGAACAUUUGCUUGGAAGACAGCGCCACACCUUUCUACUUGGUUAUGAUUAUGAUAACAUGAUAGACAAAAGCAAAUUAUCUAUGCCUUGUCAAGAUACAGAGCUGGCCUUGCAUCCCGAUCUAUCUAGUUCAUAUGGUGAUCAACAACAGGGACUGGAUAACAGUUUUACUGUGGGUGGAUUAAAUUCCCUGUUUUCAUAUUGUCCUCCGAACCUGCCAUCCCUUCAGUUCUCUCCUUCGGCUGGCAUCAGGAGCCACAACUUUGGAAAAUGCUUUCCUGAAGUUAAGGAUGACAUAGUUGCAGUUAUUAACAAAUUUUCUUUAUCCUUAUCACACCCAGCAAACCAUCUGAAUUUGGACGAGUGUUCUCCUUGUGACACCACAUGCAAAGGUGGCAUCUUGCUUUCUCCUGAAAAUCACCUAUGGUUUGUGAGAAAGGUUCUGAAUGAGGAGCAUCAUUGUUCGGGUACAGAAGCUCUCUUUUCAACUGGACCUGAUUUUUACUUAGAGCCAAUGCACAUACCAGUAAGCUGUUCCUUGAGAGAUCAUUAUAAGUACACUUGGCAUGCUCAUAAAUUUCACCAAAAUGAAGGCAUGCCUUCACACUUUUUAAUUGGAGAUAAGAAUGUGAAUUACUUAGAUGGUUUAAGUCACAGGGGACUCAUGAAUCAUGAAGAUAUGAUUGAUAUCCCUGACUGGUCAUCCUUUUAUUUCCAGAUGUCUGUUAACAAAGAGAAGAUAUGUCCCUUACUGCUUAGUGGAUCUGAAUGAAUUAUAUUCUGA
rnacentral:misc_RNA from 1 species